rnacentral:lncRNA from 1 species
AUUUUCUAGGGUUGUACCGUGGCACAUGGAGGUUCCCAGGCUAGGGGUCCAAUAGGAGCUGUAGCCACCAGUCUACACCAUAGCCACAGCAAUGCAGAAUCCAAGGUGUGUCUCUGAUCUACACCACAGCUCACAGCAAUGGCGGAUCAUUAACCCACAGAGUAAGGCCAGGGAUUGAAUCCACAACCUCGUGGUUCCUAGUUGGAUUUGUUAACCACCGAGCCGUGACGGGAACUCCUACUUUCUUUUACAAAGACAUCAAUAUUUAUGAUCUCACUGGUUUCACUAAUUCAACUAUCAUUUAGUGAACACCUACCUUGUGACAAGUUAUGCUAUAAGUACUGAAGAUAAAAAAUUAAAUAACACUCUGUCUUUUCCUCACACUAGAUGGUAGGUGCUCUCCUCAGAGCCUGCUGCAUCCCUCAGGGCCCCAGAGAUGCUGAUUUCUGAGUCCUCACUUCCUUAGGAGGGUAAUGUUCCCCUUGCCUUCCUUGCCUUUCAGGAUUAGAAGAUUGAGUUAUGGAGAUCUGAGUUCUGGUCUCUCUGGCAUCAGGCCAUUCUGAAAGGUCCUUUCCUUUCAGGCAGAAAACCGACAAAGUCAGGCACUUUGCUCUGAGGCUUUCAUUUGCGUUUCUAAGUUGAUUGCCUAAAACUGAGACCGCUUUCCCUGUGGGGAGAGGGAUGGACUGGGCUUCUUAAAGUGUGUGUGUGUGUGUGUGUGUGUGUGUGUGUGUGUGUGUGUGAGUGUGGGUGGGGUAAUAGGACCCUGUGUCCUUCUUUGAUGUUGUCCCCUUAGGGAGCCCUUAUUAGAGCCUUCUCUAGCCUUCUUCUCUCUAGUCCCUUGUAACUAGCUUCACCUCUGUCACUUUCUCCUUUCACUCCACUGGCCUCCAAGGUGUUUAGCCAGCCAAGCUUGCUCCCUCCUUAUGGCCUUUAUGUUCUGUGUCCCUUCUGUGUGGGCCACUCUCCCCUGAGUCAUGAGGUUAACCUCUGACUUCCUUCAGGUCUUUACUCACCUUCUCUGUGAGGCCUUCCAUGGCCACUCUUUCAAAACUGUCAGCCUUUCAUCCCGAUGCUCUAUACAUUUCCCUGCUCUACUAUGUCUCCUGAGCACUCACUAUUGUUUACUUAAUUUCUGCUAGAAACAGAGCGGAAUGGACAAUAAAAGACAGAUAAUCUCCAGGGGAACAUGGAUUUUUGUCUGUUUGUUUCUUUCUUUUUUUUCUUUUUACAGCUGCACCUGUGGCACAUGGAAGAUCCAGGGCUAGGGCCUGAAUCAAAGCUGCAGCUGAGCCCUAUGCCACAGCCAUGGCAACAUCUAAAACCUGUGCUGCAGCUUAUGGCAGUGCUGGAUCUUUAACACAGUGAGUGAGGCUAGGGUUCAAACCUGCAUCCUUACAGAGACUGUGCUGGGUCCUUAACUCCCUGAGCCACAAUAGGAACUCCUGUCUGUUUUUUUCAUACUCUGUCUUAUAGAAUAGUUCUUUGUACAUGGUACAUUCUUUAGUAAGUAUUUGUUAAGUGAAUGAAUAAUGACAAAAUUCCCUAAGUCUCAGCUAGACAAAUAGGAAGUAUAAUAAUCUCCUUCAUUUAAAUUGAUCAUAUGAUUUGGACAAUUGGAAUUUCAGUAGAAAUUCUUGACUUUAGGAUUGAAGACUCCCCUAAGCUUGUUGGCUAGUAUAGGGAAUCUUAGUAACAAAGGGCAUAAAGUCACAUAGUUUAUGAUAGUUUUAAUCAUAGUUUAUGAUUUUUUGAAGAUGAAGGAGAUGUGGCAUUUCUUGCAUCACAAUGUUUUGAGCAAAGUGUAGCCAGUUCACCUUGAGUGUGCACAAAAGCCAGCCUUGCCGCCUCCUGCUAGCUUUUGUCGGUGCAAGUAUGCCUGGCAGUUUGACUUGAGAAUGGCAUUAAGGACUUGCCAUGGUGCUGACAUGAGAAGUGAGAAAUGGCAAGUGCAUGGAACUAGCACAGGGAGCAAAGGGUCAGUGUUUCAAUACCAGCCAUGGCUUAGUUGAUAAGAUACUGCAAAUGAGUACUUCAUGUGUGUGUGUGAGUCUCUGUGUGUCACAUAAGAAGCAUAUAUUGUGUUAUGUGCACAAUGGCCAGUGAAUUUGAUGCCUCUUUUAUGGAUGCUAUUGGAUGUGUCAGCACUUCUUCCAUUCCCUUCUGUCUUGAGGUGUGUGGAAAUUUCUCCUGUGCCAUCCUUUACUUUGAUAAAGGAAUUGAAAAUAAGGUCUCCUCUCUUUGCUUUUGACUUCUCCAUUCAUAUAAUUGGUUUUCCUCCUUUGCUCAGUGCUCCCUAUGGUCACAUCAUAUUACAAAUUAUUAUAUAAUAAAAGUUGUUGCCUUGUAUUUUCUUUCCUACCUGUUUCCUACAGAACUUGGGAGAAAUAAAAGGAAUUGACCCAGGUUAAGAUGACAAAAAUAAUUAUCCCUCGUUUAAAAGAAGAAAAGUUUACAUUAAUAGACUAAUUCAAAUUUAUUUAAUUUUGCACAGAAUUAAAAAAAGCAUCUCACUGAAAAGUAACAUGAAAAAGAAUAUUAAAAUUCUUGAUAAGUUAAGGGGUUAGAAACUACCAUUUAUUGACUAUGUAUAGGGUACCAUCUAGAAAUUCAGUAACUGAGCUGAGAAAUUGAUGUUAUCCCAUUUUACAGGGAAAGAAACCAAGCUUCAGGGAUGUUAAUAAAUGCUAAGGACAUAUUAGUAGGAAGUGGGAGAGGCUGGAUUUGUAUUUAGAUGUGUCUGAUUCCAACUAAACUUUACUAUGCUGGUUUCCAACUGUCUUUAAAUUCAGAGUGUUCUUAAAAUUUCAGUACUGUACAUUCUAAAUUGAAAGCACUGUAUUUCAUUUCUAAGUAAGAUCAUCUUUUCCCUUUGCCAGAAAUAAUAUCUUUGAUUGCUCUAGCGCUUGGUUUGUAUGAAUUGCUUUCCUUGUUUUCUCAAUGCCAUGCAGGGAUUUAAAGUUCCUUGCUGUUAAAAACAGAGAUGAGUUACCUCAUUUUUGAAAUUCCUACACUGAGUUUCAAAAGCAAAAACAUGUCAUUAGGAGCUUAGGCUCAGAAUCUGAAUUUCAUCUUCUCUGCUUACUUACUGCAUAAUAGUGGCCACAUUCCUUAAUUAGGCUGUACCUCAAUAUCUCUAUCUGUAAAACAGAGGUAAUAUCAUCAAUAUAAAGAUUAAAAUAGUUAAUGUGUUAAUACAAUUAAAGUGCUUUUAAACAGAGCCUGACACACAAACAUCACCAAUAAAAUUUUUAUUUCUACCCAGGCAUGGCAAUCAUAAAGAGACAAUCAUUUUCAUUUUCUGGAACAUAGGAUAUUAGUUUCCUAAGGAUCCUUUCCUUCCAUGUCUUCCUGUUAACUAUCUGCUAGGGUUAUGCCAGCUGCGCAUGGUGCUUUUUCACUCAAGAGGAAGACAUCUGAAAAUAGGCCUGUCUGUCUCUUUUAUUUUUAAAUUCAUACAUUUGUAAUGAAAAAAGCAAACUGAUCAUCAUUGGAGGAUCUUAGUGGACCAACUCAGUAUUUUGAAAAUUGGUCAGUACAGCAACAUACUAAAGGCCUAUCCUUCAUUUCCUGUGUGGACUGUCCUACUAGAUAAUCAAUAGUAGAAAAGGAAUUAUUUCUUUUCACAGAAGAGUGCAUGGAUCUAGGCAUUGGACAUCAAUACCCCUAAGAUCAAAGAGAGACAUAGAUAGAUAGACAGAUAGAUAGAUAUAUAGAUAGAUAGAUUAUGUGAUUCCAUUUAAUUGAACAUACCAUCAAUAAAGUAGUCUUAUUAAACACUAUAAUUUAUGGAGUUCCCAUUGUGGCUCAGCAAUAACGAACCUGAUUAGUAUCCGUGAGGACAUGGGUUCAGUCCCUAGCCUUGCUCAGUGGGUUAAGGAUCUGAUGCUGCUGUGAGCUGUGGUGUAGGUUGCAGACAUGGUUUAGUGUUGCUUAGGCUGUGGUGUAGGCAGGCAGCUUCAGCUCUGAAUUGACCACUAACGUGGGAACUUCCAU